rnacentral:lncRNA from 1 species
CCAAGAGCAGCCUAGAACCGAAGUCCUGCUAGUCGCCUCCGUCUGGGUACCAGCCCCCUAUUACUCUGCAGGCGUGUGAAGGAAGAAGGAAACUAGCCCCGGACCGCGAGGUUUGUAGGUCUGUUGGCCCAUAGGUCGCCUCAAACGUCGUGCCGAGGGAAGGAGCAAACUGCCUUGGGACCGUGCAGUUCUCCAAAGCCAGCUAUCUGUCUUUCCGACCUUCUGCCAGACUGUCCAUCAGUCUCCGCGGAAGGAGUGCUGACAACAGAAGACAAGGGAAGAAGAAAUUUACCUGACUUUGGUAGAGAUUCAUCACAGGAGAGCUACAGGAGCCCAGGAGAGGCUGAAGAGGACUGCUGCUCCACCAUUACUCACCCUAGCCCUCAGAAUCCUCCUGAAUCAGGUGGAACAAGGCCCUCUCCUGUCCUGUCCAA